AUUGAACGCUGGCAGCAGGCCUAACACAUGCAAGUCGAACGAGCGGCGGACGGGUGAGUAAUGUCUGGGAAACUGCCUGAUGGAGGGGGAUAACUACUGGAAAAGGUAGCUAAUACCGCAUACCAUCAGAUGUGCCCAGAUGGGAUUCGCUAGUAGGUGGGGUAACGGCUAACCUAGGCGACGAUCCCUAGCUGGUCUUAGAGGAUGACCCGCGACACUUGAACUGAGACACGGUCCAGACUCGUACGGGAGGCAGCAGUGGGGAAAAUUGCACAAUUGGCGCAAGCCUGAUGCAGCCAUGCCGCGUGUAUGAAGAAGGCCUUCGGGUUGUAAAGCACUUUCAGCGAGGAGGCGUUACCCGCAGAAGAAGCACCGGCUAACUCCGUGCCAGCAGCCGCGGUAAUUC
rnacentral:rRNA from 1 species